CGUCCAUCAUCUCCAUUUAUACCUCCUGUACCUAUACGCACACAUACUCGCCAUUUCAAUUGCAUUCGCCGAUUCCCCAACGCCCAGUUUCCAGCAGUGAAUUAAAUUCCAUCAGUGCAAACAGCUCGAUUUCGCGCCGCAAUUCUCAAGAAGUCGCGCGGCCGAAACAGAGAGAAGACAAAUCUGCUUUGCAGAGACACGUGUACAUAAAUAGGAGGGUCGGUAAACAGUUCGGUCACGGGUAUUUAAGCACGAGUACGCGUUUACAGACUGCACGCCGAUAUAUGUUUGUAUGCGUUCAACGUCGACAAACCCCCCAUGAGCAAUACGUUGUAGAUAACGAACUGAAAUCCCGUCAGAAUCCGCGUUUACGGUUUCAAUAUACUCGAAACAGUUCGUGUGGAGACACAGCCGCGUGUGAAUCCCUUCGAGCCGAAUUGAAAAUGUUCCACGCCCGUGAUAUACUUCCGAUGCUGAUUUGCACGAUGUGUUUGAUAUCCUAUUGUGCGUCCUGCUCCCCGGAUAUUGGACAGCCGCUGGACUUGAGUCAGUUUGCAGGAGAAUGGUAUUUCGCUGCUGGCACGCCGGUAAAUGUAAGCUUAAGUAGAUGCGGACGGUUCCUGGUCAGGCAGACGUCGCCCAACGCGUUUACGGUGAAAUUCACUGCGCUCAGUUAUAAGAACGAUAUUCCUACCGUUUUUAACAUCGAUGGAGAUGUCAAUGGGAAUGAUAUCGUUGCAACCUGGCAGCUUGAAGGAUCGAAAAAGAGAUUAGGGCCCUUUCGUCACGUAAUAGCCUUCGUAAAGUACGAUACGGUUCUUGGGAUGCUGGUCUGUUACGAGUCGACGCAUCACCAGGGAUACAAGUUCGUCAUGAUUUGGUCCCGGGAGAGAAGCCUGCCUUUGCCGAUCUUGAAGGAGCUCAGGUCCAAAAUGGGAGCAUACAUUAAUCAAGGCAGAAUUCGGAUGGUAGAUCACGGAGACUGUUAAACAAGCCGUAAAUUUGCACGCAACACUGCGUCUCAAUAUACUUAACAGCACUCCCGGAGAAUGAAUGAUUCAAGAAGGGUGACGCAGAAUUUACUCGUUGAGCUCAUGAAAUAUUCGGGUAACAACCAACUGAGCCAAGAGCAUCAACACCUGCGGUCGAAAUGACUUCGUUGGAGAAAAAAUAAAACGUAAAAAUUCCUCGAGUACAAUGCGCUUGUGAACUAACUUCCAAAUGAACUCGUUAACUGUGACAAUCAACGGGUUAUCGACUACAAUUUCAAACUUGAUAUUUUCCAAACCGAGGUGUGAAAUAAAAAAACGUCUAGAAUAUUUUUUUAUUGAUUCUACUACUCUCUGAGAUAUCUCUCAGAACCAUAGAACAUUACAGAAAAUUAAUAAACGUAUCUCAACGAUACACGUUAAAUAUCCACAUUACAAAUUUCCACCUAUAUCAUGUAAAAUUGCUUUCACAAGAUACACGAUACGUACGGAACGAUACAAAGGCAUUUAAUUAUAAAUCGUUUCUCGAAUGUCAAAGGUAGCCUACCUGAACGUGCCACAAAUACUUGCACUCCGUACACGAGAUAAAUUGGACUUUCUGUGAGGAUAUUGGGAUAUCGGAUAAUUAAAUUUUACACGUUGUAACAUAACAUGCCCGUGUCGUUUCCCCACGGAUGCAUCGAGUAUUACGUAAAAGAUAUCGGUAUUCUUUCCAAUGUAAUUUUAAUUACAUUAUCGUUCUUUCAUCGACGAUGUUCGACGUCUAUCUUGAAUCGAAAAACCGUAGAUAAAAUGAAAAGAAUGAAAAGAAUGUCUGGGCAGAGAAGGAGGUUACAUUAAUUUGCAAAAGAGCACCGAACUUUCUCGAGCCUUCUUUCUUUCAAAGACAACCACCCUCUUUAGCGUACGCCGAUAAUCUUGUCAAAGAAAGGAGACUCGAAUACAACAGAUUUAUAUGCUUCGUCUUGUACGUGAUACAUAAGGUUAUAUGUACCAUUUACCAGCCCUUCGAAGGGCUCCAUGAGUCGGCGAUGCUCGAAUCUUGGAAGGCUUUCGCGGAUUAGCGACCAAUUGCCGUUUUCUCCUCUUAUUUCCAAGAAAGGUCCAGAUUAAUUCUCCCCAAGCUUGCUUGGGAAUUGACGUAGACGAUAUUAAGCUAUUUUUACUUUUCGUGUCUGGUUAAAUAAAGAUAGCGUGCGACGUAGAGAAAUUUUCUUUUACAGUGAUACUAUCAUAGUUGAGAAAUUAGUAUGAUAUUCACUAGAGUUUAGUGGUUAUGGCAUUCAGUAGUCAGAAAUAUUAGUAGAAUAUUCAGUUGUUGAUACUGAAGUGUUGUUUUGAAUUCGAGCAAGAAACCGCAAUUUCCAACGUUUAAUUUGCUAUUUUGUUCCCAUCUCGUUGCAAUUAAAAUAUAUAUGUUUCGUAUAGAAGCCAAUACUAGUUACAUUUUCGAUUUAUUUUUGCGUACAGAAUGCUGAAUCGUAUCACCUAUUUUGUAACACUCUACAUAUGUAUAUGAAUAUGCUCCUCUAAAUCUUAGUGUCACAAGACAUCACAGAAUGUAGUUAGUAAAUUCAUUUUAACACAUUGCGGAAGACGCAAAUUCACGUCUUACAUACU